rnacentral:siRNA from 1 species
CAGUGGUUCCUCGUAACGGCCCU